rnacentral:rRNA from 1 species
GGAUCGCGCUAUCUGCAGUCGAGCGACAGAUGAGAAGCUUGCUUCUCUGAUGUUAGCGGCGGACGGGUGAGGAACACGUGUGUGACCUACCUAGGGGACUGGGAUAACUCCAGGAAAGCGGGGCUAAUACCUGAUAUUAUUUUGAACCGCAGGGAUCUUUAGUGCUUGACGGCUUCGGCUGUCCUUUAUCGAUGGACCCGCGCCGUAUUAUCUAGGUGGUAAGGUAAUGGCUUACCAAGGGGACCAUACAUAACCAACCUGAGAGGGUGAUCGGACACACUGGAACUACUCCUCGGUCCAGACUCCUACGGGAGGCAGCAAUAAUGAAUCUUCCCCUGUGGGCGAAAUGCUGACGGAGCAACGCCGCGUGAGUGAUGAAGGUCUUAGGAUCGUAAAAAUCUGUUGUUAGAGAAGAACAAAUUUGUUAGUAGCUGAUCACUCCUUGACGGUACCUAACCUAAAUCUCUCGGCUAACUACCUGCCAUCCGCCGCGGGAAUACGUAAGUGGCAUUUGUUGUCCGGAAUUAUUGCGCAUAAGGCGCGCUUAGGCGGUUUCUUAAUCCUGAAGUUUAACUCCACGGUUCAACCCUGUAAUGUCUUUGUAAACUGGGGAACUUGAUUGCAGAAUACGAGAGUGGAAUUCCAUGUGUAGCGAUGAAAUGCGCAGAGAUAUGGAGGAACACCAGUGGCUAACGCGGCUCUCUGGUCUGUAACUGACGCUGAUGUGCGAAAGCGUGAUGAUCUACCCUGAUUAGAUAUGCUGGUAGUCCACGCCGUAAACGAUGAGUGCUAAGUGUUACUGGGUUUCCGCCCCUUAGUGCUGCAGCUACGCAUUGAGCACUCCGCUUGCAGAGUACGACCGCAAGGUGAAACUCAGAGCAAUUGACGGCGACGCGCACUGUCGGUUGAAGUCAUGUGCAUUGAUUCGAAGCUUCGCUGAUAAUCAUAUCAAAUCAUGACUUCCUAUGAUCGCUCUAGACAUAGAGUAUUCCCCUUCAGGUGAUAAGUGACAGGCUGCUGCAUGUUGUCGUCAGCUCGUG